AUAUUCUCCAUUCGGGGAAGGCUGAGAAGCUUCGACCAAGGUUCGACUCGAGCAUCGCGAGAGAGCGUUGCCGCAGGCAACGACCCGAAGGGCGAGGAGCGCAGCGACGUGUAAUCCUUCCCCCACCACCA
rnacentral:sRNA from 1 species